rnacentral:rRNA from 1 species
UACGAAGGGGGCGAGCGUUGUUCGGAUUUACUGGGCGUAAAGGGCGCGUAGGCGGCCCUCCUUGUCGCGUGUGAAAGCCCCGGGCUCAACCUGGGAAUUGCGCGCGAAACGGGAGGGCUUGAGUUCGGGAGAGGAGCGUGGAAUUCCCAGUGUAGAGGUGAAAUUCGUAGAUAUUGGGAAGAACACCGGUGGCGAAGGCGGCGCUCUGGACCGAGACUGACGCUGAGGCGCGAAGGCCAGGGGAGCAAACGGG